GAUGAACGCUGGCGGCGUGCCUAAUACAUGCAAGUCGAGCGAACAGACGAGGAGCUUGCUCCUCUGACGUUAGCGGCGGACGGGUGAGUAACACGUGGAUAACCUACCUAUAAGACUGGGAUAACUUCGGGAAACCGGAGCUAAUACCGGAUAAUAUAUUGAACCGCAUGGUUCAAUAGUGAAAGACGGUUUUGCUGUCACUUAUAGAUGGAUCCGCGCCGCAUUAGCUAGUUGGUAAGGUAACGGCUUACCAAGGCAACGAUGCGUAGCCGACCUGAGAGGGUGAUCGGCCACACUGGAACUGAGACACGGUCCAGACUCCUACGGGAGGCAGCAGUAGGGAAUCGUCCGCAGUGGGCGAAAGCUUGACGGAGCAACGCCGCGUGAGUGAUGAAGGUCUUCGGAUCGUAAAACUCUGUUAUUAGGGAAGAACAAAUGUGUAAGUAACUAUGCACGUCUUGACGGUACCUAAUCAGAAAGCCACGGCUAACUACGUG
rnacentral:rRNA from 1 species